CAGAAGCAAUGACGCAUUACUUGACUUCAACAGGUUUACGUCAAAUACAGUGCUCUUUUCCGGAUCACAAGAGAAGCUUAUCCGUAUGAGGACACGUCUCAACUUCUUUCUCGGGUGAUCUCCAGCUAUGGAGCUAACCGAAUAAUGUGGGGAAGUGACUUCCCCUACGUCGUUCCCGAAUGUGGCUACAAGGGAGCAAAGGAGGCAAUCUCUCAUGUCGCUGGCAAGGCAGCUGUUUCGUCUUCAGAUCUGGAGUGGAUUUUAGGCAAAACAGUAAGCCAACUAUUUCAAGGUGCAUGGGUUACUCCAUGAGGGAGAUGUGGCAUGGCAGGCAUGACAGUGUUGCGGCUCAGUUUGGUAUUGUUCAGUUUAGACAUCCUUGUUUGGAAGGGGGAAGGAUCUAUCUAGUUUGGUAUUGUGCAGUUUGACAGUCAUGUUCAAGUGUGUAUCCCUUCUCCAGAGGUUUAAUAAAUUCAAUAGUUCUUCCUA